UACGUAGGGCGCAAGCGUUAUCCGGAAUUAUUGGGCGUAAAGAGCUCGUAGGCGGUUUGUCGCGUCUGCCGUGAAAGUCCGGGGCUCAACUCCGGAUCUGCGGUGGGUACGGGCAGACUAGAGUGAUGUAGGGGAGACUGGAAUCCUGGUGUAGCGGUGAAAUGCGCAGAUAAUCAGGAGGAACACCGAUGGCGAAGGCAGGUCUCUGGGCAUUAACUGACGCUGAGGAGCGAAAGCAUGGGGAGCAACAGG
rnacentral:rRNA from 1 species